rnacentral:rRNA from 1 species
AGAGUUUGAUCCUGGCUCAGAACGAACGCUGGCGGCAGGCCUAACACAUGCAAGUCGAACGAGAAGCUUUUCUUCGGAAAAGUGGAAAGUGGCAGACGGGUGAGUAACGCGUGGGAAUCUACCCAAUGGUACGGAAUAACGCAGGGAAACUUGUGCUAAUACCGUAUACGCCCUUCGGGGGAAAGAUUUAUCGCCAUUGGAUGAGCCCGCGUCAGAUUAGCUAGUUGGUAAGGUAACGGCUUACCAAGGCUCCGAUCUGUAGCUGGUCUGAGAGGAUGAUCAGCCACACUGGGACUGAGACACGGCCCAGACUCCUACGGGAGGCAGCAGUGGGGAAUAUUGGACAAUGGGCGCAAGCCUGAUCCAGCCAUGCCGCGUGAGUGAAGAAGGCCCUAGGGUUGUAAAACUCUUUCGCCAGGGAAGAUAAUGACGGUACCUGGUAAAGAAGCCCCGGCCAACUCCGUGCCAGCAGCCGCGGUAAUACGGAGGGGGCUAGCGUUGUUCGGAAUUACUGGGCGUAAAGCGCGCGUAUGCGGAUUGGUAAGUUGGAGGUGAAAUCCCGGGGCUCACCCCGGAACUGCCUUCAAACUGCCA